rnacentral:tRNA from 1 species
GUGGCUGUAGCUCAGUUGGUAGAGUCCCAGGUUGUGGCCCUGGUUGCCGUGGGUUCGAGUCCCACCAGUCACCCCA